rnacentral:rRNA from 1 species
GAAACUGGGGCUAAUACCGGAUAAGACCACGGGACCUUCGGGUCUUGCGGAAAAAGGUGGCCUCUUCUUGAAAGCUACCGCCUAUCGAUGAGUCCGCGUCCCAUUAGCUUGUUGGCGAGAUAAAAGCUCACCAAGGCUUCGAUGGGUAGCUGGUCUGAGAGGAUGAUCAGCCACACUGGAACUGAGACACGGUCCAGACUCCUGCGGGAGGCAGCAGUCGGGAAUUUUGGGCAAUGGGGGAAACCCUGACCCAGCAACGCCGCGUGAGGGAUGAAGGCCCUCGGGUCGUAAACCUCUGUCGGAAGGGAAGAAAGGUCUCCGUUCAAAUAGAGCGGGGGCUUGACGGUACCUUCAAAGGAAGCACCGGCUAACUCCGUGCCAGCAGCCGCGGUAAUACGGAGGGUGCAAGCGUUGUUCGGAAUUACUGGGCGUAAAGCGCGUGUAGGCGGCUUGGCAAGUCGAGUGUGAAAUCCCAGGGCUCAACCCUGGAACUGCACCCGAAACUGCCUCGCUAGAGUCCCGGAGAGGGUGGCGGAAAUUUCC